rnacentral:rRNA from 1 species
CUACACACCACCUUGAGCAGCGGCGCACUGGCAUGGCCUCGUUCCUUCUAGUUCUGUUUCGACUCUCUUGAUUUCAAAUAUCAAUUUCCUCCACAUCAAGACGACAAACCUCUCCGUGUCAUCAUCCAACAGAGACAAAAAGAGCUCCACCAUUCUGGGUGCACUCACAUGUUCUUUCAUGGUUUUGACGACAUAGUCCACAAACUCUGGCAACUCCGCGUCGAAAAUUUCCGUGAACUUCCUUGAAAUCCAAGGCCUCAUUCUCUCAUGCAAUCCAUGCUCUUCAUAAAUUGCCCAAUUGAUAUCAUGGGAAAAUAGCUCUUCCUUCGUCUUAGGGACAGUAGCAAGCAACUGUUUUAGCUCUUCCUUCUCCUUAGGGACAGUAUCAAGCAACUGUUUUGCAUCCAAAGUUUUAUUUUUCCCUGGCUUGGAUGUAGCUUGCAAUUCAUAACCCACUUUCUUUCCCGCAUUGCUGAUCUGUUCAUAUGAGAGUAGGCCUGGUGCAAACACAAUACGCCUCUCUUUGCCGUUGCUCCUAUGAAACCCAUUUUCCCUGUGCUGACUUUUCGUCCCAUGUUCAACUGUAGGUUCACACUCCAUAGGGGCAUACAUUGUUGAUGCCCCAUCAGUUUGCAGAGAGGACUUUCCAGCUGCAGUCACUUCUCUAUCUUUCCAACAUUGCAAACCCACAGCUGUCCUUUCCCUUAAAUGGUCCUCUUUUUCGCAUUGUCUCCUGAUUUUCCUCUCCUCUAGUGCAAUACUUCUGGAAUCAACAUCACUAUUCUCGUCAACAACUUCAUCGUCGAGAGGGAAACAGCCCGGAUCACCAGCUAAGGCCCCUAAAUGACCACUCAGUGAUAAAGGACUGGCAGACACCUGAACUGGCGGAAUUGGUGAACCUGGACAUUUACUCUUCAUUCUUUCUUCAACCGUACUGUGUAUCUUUUGCAUUGCAUCCUUAUCAGCUUCAUUGGCCUUCUUUUCUGUAGUACUCUGACCAUAUUUCUGAAGAUACGUGUCUGCAUUGACAUUAAGCGCAUCAAUUUGCAAAGAAGACUUUCUAGCUGCAGUCACUUCUCUCUCUUUCCGACCUUGCAAACCAACAGCUUUACUUUUCCCUAAAUGUUUCUCUUUUUCACAUUGUCUCGUGAUUUCUCUCUCCUCCAGUGCACUACUCCUUGUAUCACCAUCUUCAUUCUCAUCAACAAUACUGACAUUGGCAGACACCUGAAUUGGCGGAAUUGGUGAACCUGGAAGUUUACUCUUCAAUCUCUCUAUAAUCAUACUGCGUAUCUUUUGAAUAGCGUCCUUAUCAGCUUCACUGGCCUUCUCUUCUAUAGUUCUACCUCCAUGUUUCUGAAGGUAAUCUCUGGUGGAUUGAUUGACAUUAAGCACCAGUUCUUGGCCAUCAACACUCAGUUUGUUGAGCAACCGCCUUGCACGAAGACUGCUUUCAGCAGACUCAAACUCACAAAAGCCAAAUGCAGUAGGAGUUCCAUCUAUGGGAUUUGUGACUGGCUUCCAACUUUUUACAGGUCCACAAACCUGUAGCUGGAGAAGAGAAAGAAUAAAAUCCUUGUCCACUGUUGACGCUAUCUUGCCUAUGUAUACAUUAAAUUGUAGUAUAUCUGCUGGAGCAACAGGUGGGACAGGUGGUCUGGCCGCAGCCACAGGAUCAGAAACGCCAUGAAUUACUGCUGGUCGUUGAUGCGAGAUAACACCAGGAGGAUACAU